AUGGAGCAGAAGGCUAGAAUAAGGAAGCAGCUCUUGGAACCUGAGUUUUUGCCAUCUUCCUACGACACCGCGUGGGUGGCUAUGGUGCCCUUGCCGGGCUCUCCUCAAGUUCCAUGCUUUCCUCAAUGUGUUGAAUGUGUCCUACAAAAUCAGCAGAGCAAUGGAUCUUGGGGUCUAGUCCAAGUGGACUCCUCCAUCAACAAGGAUGUCCUCUCAUCCACAUUGGCUUGUGUGCUCGCACUUAAGAGAUGGAAUGUUGGUGGUGAGCAUAUCAAAAGAGGACUACGUUUCAUCGGAAGAAAUUUCUUCAUUGUUACAAAUGAGCAGAGUGUUGCUCCUAUAGGCUUCAAUAUCACGUUUUCGGGUAUGCUUAGCCUUGGGAUGGAGAUGGGUUUGGAAUUUCCGGUUGGACAAAAUGAUCUUGAUAGGAUUCUUCACCUCCGGGAGGUGGAACUGAAAAGACUUCUUGGGGAUAAAUCUGAUGGGAGAAAAGAAUAUAUGGCUUAUGUUGCUGAAGGGCUAGGAAACCUGCUGGACUGGAAUCAAGUUAUGAAGUUUCAGAGGAAGAAUGGGUCGUUGUUCAACUCUCCUUCCACAACUGCUGCUGCACUAAUCCACAAUUUUGAUGACAAAGCCCUACAGUACCUAAAUUUGUUUGUCAGUAAAUUUGGUGGUUCAGUGCCAACAGUUUAUCCAACAAAUAUACAUUGUCAGCUUUCAUUGGUAGAUUCUCUUGAAAACAUCGGGAUAUCUCAUCAUUUUUCUAGUGAGAUAAGGAGCAUCCUGGACGUGGCAUACAGUUUCUGGUUACAGAGAGAUGAGGAAAUCAUGCUAGAUGUAGCAACAUGCGCAAUGGCAUUCCGUCUUUUGCGAAUGAAUGGAUAUGAUGUUUCCUCGGAUGAUCUGUAUCAUGUUGAUGCAUCCACCUUCCAUAAUUCACUUCAGGGAUAUUUAAAUGAUACAAAAUCUAUAUUGGAAUUGUACAAAGCUUCAAAAGUCAGUGUAUCAGAAAAUGAAUUUAGCCUAGAUAACAUAGGCUACUGGUCAGGCAGGUUAUUGACAGAAAAAUUGCUCUCCGAUCGGGCGCAAACUACGGAAAUAUUUCAAGAGGUUGAGUAUGCUCUUAAAUUUCCCUUUUAUGCCACAAUGGAACGUAUAGGCCACAAGAGGAACAUUGAACACUUUGAUUGUGGUUCUCAAAAGCUAAAGACAGAACAUCUGCCAUGUCGUGUCAGCCAAGAUUUCCUGGCUUUGGCUAUUGAAGAUUUCAGUUUUUCUCAAUCUAUUUACCAGGAUGAACUCCUGCAUCUUGAAAGUUGGGCGAAAGGGAAUCGGCUGGACCAAUUACAGUUUGCACGGCAGAAGCUGACAUAUUGUUAUCUUGCUGCUGCUGCUACUAUAUUUCCUCCUGAACUGUUUGAUGCUCGCAUGUCGUGGGCCAAAAAUGGUGUGCUCACAACUGUUGUUGAUGACUUCUUCGAUGUUGGAGGAUCAAAAGAAGAACAUGAAAACUUCAUAACAUUAGUUGAGAAGUGGGAUGAUCACUCCAAAGACGAGUUCUGCUCUGAGCAAGUGCAAAUAUUGUUUUAUGCUAUCUAUACUACAGUCAAUCAGCUUGGAGCAGUAGCUUCUGCAAUACAAAACCGUGAUGUUCGAAAGCACCUGAUAGAAUUAUGGCUACAGCUGUUGAGGUCUAUGAUGUCUGAGGCAGAAUGGCGGAUGAGAAAAUAUGUGCCAACAGUUGAGCAAUACAUGUCAAAUGCAGUUGUUUCCUUCACACUGGGGCCCAUUGUGCUCACAUCAUUGUACUUUAUUGGGCCAAAGCUCUCAGAAUGCAUUGUCCAAGAUCAAGAAUACAACGAGUUGUUUAGGCUAACGAGCACUAUUGGUCGUCUCCUCAAUGAUAUCCAAGGCCUUGAGAGGGAGAGCAGGGAGGGAAACCUGGAUUAUGUCUCACUACUUGUUCUCCAUAGUGGUGGUUCUAUGUCAAUUGAAACGGCUAAAGAGACGAUACAGAAGGCCAUAGCCUCAUGUAGAAAAGGCUUGCUAAAGCUGGUUCUUAUGGAAAAUACAGUUGUUCCUAGGCCGUGCAAGGAGCUGUUCUGGAAGAUGAGCAAGAUAGUUCACUUGUUCUACUCCCAGAUCGAUGGCUUUAGCUCGCCAAACGAAAUGGUGAGCGCGGUCAAUGCAGUUAUCAACGAGCCGCUAAAACUCCAAAUCAACAAUCCACCUUUGCCCGUGCAGUCAGAAAAUUAA
rnacentral:rRNA from 1 species